UACGAAGGGGGCUAGCGUUGUUCGGAAUUACUGGGCGUAAAGCGCACGUAGGCGGAUGUGCCAGUCAGGGGUGAAAUCCCUAGGCUCAACCUCGGAACUGCCUCCUAUACAGCACGUCUCGAGUCCGGAAGAGGUGAGUGGAAUUCCUAGUGUAGAGGUGAAAUUCGUAGAUAUUAGGAAGAACACCAGUGGCGAAGGCUGCUCACUGGUCCGGUACUGGCGCUGAGGUGCGAAAGCGUGUGGAGCAAACAGU
rnacentral:rRNA from 1 species